UCCAGUUCUCCCUCGCUGUCGGAUUCUGUUCUCCUUCUCCCUCGCAGGCCGCCGGCUCACGAUUCUUUUCCCUCGCGACUCUCUGUUCUCCAGCAAAUUAAUUGAAUUUAAUAAUCAAUGGUGGUUGCUAGCAAAAGAGGGACAUUGGAUGGAAUUAUGACACUCAAGGGUUGGAUAAUUUUGAAGAAGAAUAGACUUUUAAAGUUUUGAUUUAUUGUAUUUUGAAUUGUUUGGUCUUUAAAGUUUUAGACAUUUUAGUAUCUACUAUUAGUUUUUGAAUUGAAUAUUUGCUAAUAUGUGUUAUUGCUAUUAAGAUUUUGGAUAAAAUAUGCAGUUAAAUAUUUUUAAUUUUUGGUAUUAAUUGG